UACGGAGGGUGCAAGCGUUAAUCGGAAUUACUGGGCGUAAAGCGCACGCAGGCGGUUGGAUAAGUUAGAUGUGAAAGCCCCCGGGCUCAACCUGGGAAUUGCAUUUAAAACUGUCCAGCUAGAGUCUUGUAGAGGGGGGUAGAAUUCCAGGUGUAGCGGUGAAAUGCGUAGAGAUCUGGAGGAAUACCGGUGGCGAAGGCGGCCCCCUGGACAAAGACUGACGCUCAGGUGCGAAAGCGUGGGGAGCAAACAGGAUUAGAUACCCGCGUAGU
rnacentral:rRNA from 1 species